UGAAACAGGUUUCCUCAGAUAGAGUUG
rnacentral:piRNA from 1 species